GCGAACGGGGAGGAGCCCAGAGCCUGAAUCAGCAUGUGUGUUAGUGGAAGCGUCUGGAAAGGCGCGCGAUACAGGGUGACAGCCCCGUACACAAAAGCGCAUGUGCUGUGAGCUCGAUGAGUAGGGCGGGACACGUGGUAUCCUGUCUGAAUAUGGGGGGACCAUCCUCCAAGGCUAAAUACUCCUGACUGACCGAUAGUGAACCAGUACCGUGAGGGAAAGGCGAAAAGAACCCCGGCGAGGGGAGUGAAAAAGAACCUGAAACCGUGUACGUACAAGCAGUGGGAGCACAGGUUUACCUGUGUGACUGCGUACCUUUUGUAUAAUGGGUCAGCGACUUAUAUUCUGUAGCAAGGUUAACCGUAUAGGGGAGCCGAAGGGAAACCGAGUCUUAACCGGGCGUUAAGUUGCAGGGUAUAGACCCGAAACCCGGUGAUCUAGCCAUGGGCAGGUUGAAGGUUGGGUAACACUAACUGGAGGACCGAACCGACUAAUGUUGAAAAAUUAGCGGAUGACCUGUGGCUGGGGGUGAAAGGCCAAUCAAACCGGGAGAUAGCUGGUUCUCCCCGAAAGCUAUUUAGGUAGCGCCUCGUGAAUUCAUCUCCGGGGGUAGAGCACUGUUUCGGCUAGGGGGCCAUCCCGGCUUACCAACCCGAUGCAAACUGCGAAUACCGGAGAAUGUUAUCACGGGAGACACACGGCGGGUGCUAACGUCCGUCGUGAAGAGGGAAACAACCCAGACCGCCAGCUAAGGUCCCAAAGUCAUGGUUAAGUGGGAAACGAUGUGGGAAGGCCCAGACAGCCAGGAUGUUGGCUUAGAAGCAGCCAUCAUUUAAAGAAAGCGUAAUAGCUCACUGGUCGAGUCGGCCUGCGCGGAAGAUGUAACGGGGCUAAACCAU
rnacentral:rRNA from 1 species